UCUUAUCAUUCGUACAUGCAUGUUUAUCUGAAAUGCCAGCUGCUCGGUGGAUUAUCUCCCGCUAUGUCAGUAAUUGUUACGAGCCUACAAGACAUCGAAACUACAACAUGAGAUCACUAGGCAAUAGUCUCUAUUUGGUUGGGUGCAGGUAUUUUUUUGCCUUGAAAUUCUAAUCAAAGAGUGCCUGUCACACCGUUAGAAGCACCACGGAGGCGCGAUCUUCAGGAGUGCCAGGGGAAAUUACAGAAAAUGGACAAUAUCGCAUUUCCCCCACAUCCUCGAUGUACUGGCUUAAAACAGUCAAAAUACAGGCAUCAUAUAAAAUCGUAUUUCUCGGAGCUACAGUAGACUUCCUCAGCGUCUGAUUUUGAUGAAGGACUCCGCAAUGAUCCUUUUAAAAAAAAGGAAAGAAAGAAAGAAAAAGGUACCUUUACACCAUAAGGGGCUUGCAGCCCUUACCUGGAAAUCAAAGCUGUGCAGAUAAAAGACAGAGUCAUCAAUAAACAACACAGGGAUCACUUUUGACAACAAGCAGCACGUUCAAAGCUCCAUGAUCAGCAUGGAGCCCAAUGCCGAGUUUGAACCCAGGACCCUGAGAGCAAGACCUGAGGUCUGUCACUCUCAGGAAAACCUUCUCAACACGGGUAGCCGUUGGCAAGUCUAGGCAUCCUUCGUCAUUACAGGACCAAGCCUCCUUGCAUCGGCUUAGAGUUGUGUGCCAAUCCCUAAACAGUCACUGUGAUGGAAGUGCUGACUGGCCCGGUCCUAGGCAUAUUUCCUAGAGCCUAGGGUGACUGGGUGUAGGCCCACCAAAACCACAGGGAUUAUGAGGGAGGAGGGGGUGGGUCCCCAAAAGAAAAUGUAUUAAGAGACAGGAAAGGACGUGCUAAACAGAACAAACAACAAAUGUCCAGUACAUCAUCUGAGGAUUGAAAUGUCCUCCCAUUGUCUAGCAGUGGAGGCUCACUCCGGUGUCAUGUAGCUCUCUAGUAACUGCAGGAUGUCUGACACAUCUGCAUGGAUUCUUCCAUUUAAUGAUGAGUGCGGAUCAGGGCUGGCUUUCAGAAUUAGCAUUCAUGGCAAGAGAAAUUUUGACCUGAGCAAGAAAAUUCUGGACCUUUGUAAAACAGAGGCCAGGACUCCCAUGUUCUGUAAAAUUUAAUAAUAUCAAUGGCGUUUCCUAUUCGGAUCCUCAGUUUGCUACUUCCAUGAUAAAA